rnacentral:sRNA from 1 species
AUUGUCCGUCCCUCCGGGCUUUGUAGAAUCGUCGCCGGCUUACCUGGCCGUGGGCGCGUCCUGGCCGCUGCAGCCCGGAGCAGGGUGCCAGCCGCCGCCGCCGCCGCCAUGGUGUCCCCGGUCACUGUGUCCUUAGGUACCUGGUCGUCUGGACUCUGAGUGUUUCCCAAGUCCUGUGCUGGGCAGCUCACCUAGCCAGAGACACAAUCGCUUUGGGCAGAGUGUGGGUGUACAGGGAACUCCAGCUGCUCCAUAUCACCCUCAAUGGAUCUGUUAGCAGCCCAAGGAAAGGAGUUUCAAGGAUCACAGAUUCAGAACAUCGCUGCAGCCCCCUCCCCCAGCUUGGACUCUGCCUGCAGUGGCCUUGGGUGAAGAGUGAAGGACCCAAACUGGUGCCGUUCUUCAAGGCCACCUGCGUGUAUUUUGUGCUCUGGCUGCCCUCAUCUAGCCCAUCGUGGGUCAGCACCCUCAUCAAGUGCCUGCCCAUCUUCUGCCUCUGGCUCUUCCUUCUGGCCCAUGGCCUGGGAUUCCUGCUGGCCCACCCCAGCGCC